GGAAGGGAUGAUAACCACAUAGGAAGUGCCGUCUGAUGCGACAUCUGACGAAAACUCCUAAGUGUUAGAUU